rnacentral:lncRNA from 1 species
GCCCUUGAUGGAUUUGUCAAUAAUACUUAGCAGGGGAGGGGGCCCGCUCACAUAACCCUCGCAGGUCUGCAGUCCCUGAGCAGUUUGGUGUGAUUUAAUUGUCUGAAGACGCGUGUGCUGCUGCAUAUAUGCAGGGACUAAGCAGUGGUCGCAGGGAAGGGGGAGUCGGCGGUCCGGCCGGCUGCGUUCGGGAAAACAGCACCGGGGAUAACAGGUAGCCGGAGCCGUGGCCGGGUUGGUGUUACAUUAACCAAGUCGCUGUGUAAGUAAGAAAUAACCUGGAGCCUCUCAGAUUAAGAAUUUAUUAGCUACAAAAUUUUAAUACAUUACUCAUGAGUGGAAAUGGAGUUGCGUAUUAAUCCCCCCAAGGCUCACACUCCACGGCAACAUUUCUAGACACCUGCUUACAGACUGUAGAUGUUCGCCAAGAAAAGUCCGUCAGGGAGUUCGCUCGACCCCACUCCCAUUUUCUCUUCCUACGGAACAUCAAUGCGUGUAAACAUGACUUCAUAGCGGCUGCACUCUUCAUACGUCCUGUCCUUUCUCAGCCACAAGGCACAGCGCGAUAGGCAGGCGACGAAAAUGUUACACCGCUAAGAGAAUUCAUGCCCGGGGAAGAGCGUUUCCAGAAUGCGCGCAGACCCACGUGCAACCACACCAUCCAGUAUCAAACCACACGGAUCGUUCCUUUGUGCGCCAGGAAAUCAAAGCUUCCCAAAGCAUUGCAAAGCGGUCGUACGCACCAGCAACGAACAGAUUAAUUAAACGAAAUGAAGACCCGGGUGGCCAAAGAAAAGAGGAACGCUAUUUAAACACCAAAUUGUAUUUACUUUUUGCUUAUUAUUAUUGUAAGGAACACAUGGCAUGGAACAUUCACACG